ACUAAAAUAAAUGCAGAUUUAUUGAAAAAUAAAUAUAUUUAUGCAAGUACGGGACGGUACUGGUUUUAAUAUUAUUCAAUUGCGGAGCACGAAAAGCUUACGCGCAAAUUAUCAAGAACUUCAAAAUUGUCAAUAGAAGAGGUUCUAGCGCGUACAGUUCUGAUGUCUUACUACAUUUUGAUGUCCAACGCAAUGUAAUGUCAUGCUGCAGACAUCGCCGUAGUGUACAACUCGGGACAAUCGUAUUUGUAUGGUUUUAAUUUUCUUUAUUCGUACUCGGUCAUUUUCGACCCAGUAAUAUAGUUUACUUGGAGCUAGAGAUGUCUUUGCUGUUCAUGAGAGAUUCUCAUAGAGCUCAGGUUGUGGGGUAUAUUUAUAAACUGCAAAGAUAUGAUCUAUUUAAUAUUGAUUCAGCAAUUGACGUGAAGUUCUGUGGAAUUAGUGGCGGUUGUUUAACAAACUCGAACCAUGUCCUGUUCUUUCAAGAUUGAUUAGUGAAGCACCAUCCUGACUAUGGUGUCAUGUUCAUUGGUGGUAACGACAUUGAUUAACCAGGCUCUUCUGCAGUAAAUGCAGAGACCAUAGUAUUACGAAUUGUUACAAUUGCUAAACUUUUCUUACUUGCUACAAUCCGAAACAUAUCUUUAUUUGCCAAUUUAUUCUAAGGCAACACACCCGCCACAUCCCAGCGUACAUAUACAAUGAUUUUAUUAUUACUGAGAGAAGCAGACAGGGUGUUUAAGCAAGAACUUGGAAUAUUGAACGUAAUGAAAUUUGAAAAGACUGAAACAUUCUAAUGCUAACAUUUUACAGAUAGAUGGUGUUCAUUUCAACAACCUGGGAUUUGAAAUUUUUCCGCAAUGUGAGAGGAAUAAUUUUGAAGUGCAUAGCAGAUAUGUAAUUCACACAUGUACUGGAAGAUACUGUAUUCUAAUUGAUGGCACAUUUGUAUCUAUAUUAUCAUAUAACAACAGCGAAGGCUGCUGCAGCUGAGGAAGCUGCUAAAACCAAACGAAGAACAAACUAAAUUGAGCAGGUUUCAGGAGCUAACACAUCCAAUUUAUCAGAAAAAGACUUGAACACAAUUAUAUCAAAUGUUGUUCCUGCUGUCACACAAGGUAUGUUGUAGGUUUUAAAAGACUUGAAGAUACUACCGCCUGACAUUAUUCAGAACCAAAACUUUGGAAAACAACAGAUACUUUUGGAAUCCACACAAAACACUUCAAUAUCUGCUCCAACACCAACUUUGGCAGUUUCAGUUAUGAAUCUAAAUUCUGCCACAUUUUCGCGUCCACUUUUUCUUGGUAUUGAUGAAAAAGUCAAAGCUAAGAUUGUAUCAGAUCAAUUUGUGGAUUUAGAUUCCAUAUAAAAUAAACUUUAAGGUGAUUAUAAAUAUCGCUUAGUCGAAAAUGGCAGUGGGGAACCCUCGUUCAAAAAAGUUUUAAAUCCCCGACCAGUAUAAAAACGGAUCAAGGGUUUAAUACAUUUCAUAUUUCUACAAGUGUUUACACAGACAGACACCCAACAUCUGCUGCUACUUUAAUGAAACAUUGCGACACAGUUCAUAAACUUGCAAAGCAAUCGGGGGAUUCCGCUGCCAUUUUUACGAUAGACAAUUUCGUCUCUUAAAAGAAGCAAGAUUUGCUUUGAUUUCAUAUGGGGAAGUCGAUACCCAUUUAUAAACGCAGGCACUGGCCAUGGGGUUAAUUAACCCAAAACAAAAACAGUCCUUUCUUGGCGCAAGAUCCCACCAAAACAAACCGUGCUUUGAUUUCAACAACGGGUCUUGUGUAAGAAAAUCGUGCACCUUUCAGCACAGAUGUCAAAAGUGUCCCGGUCCUGGACGAAUUGUAUGUUUUAAAAAGGUGCAAUCAAAUUUCAGAGAAUUCUGAGAACCUAUGAUACUGACUCCAAGGUACGACUUGAAGUUUACUGAAUAUUUGAUGAACGGUUUCACAAAGGGCUUUAAAAUACCUUUUACAGGUACUCAUUCUAAUAAAUUUCCUGGGAAUUUCAAAUCUGCGACUGAAAAUUUAGAGGACAUAAAUCACUGUUGAAAUUGAUGCGGAUCGUGUUCCGGUUCCUUUCAAUGAACCACCUGACCUCAACUCUGGGUUUAGUACCAAAUCAGGAACCCAGUGAAUUUCGUGGAAUACAUCAUUUAUCUUUUCCAGAAGGUCAAUCUGUUAAGGCUGGAAUCCCACCAGAAAUGCGUUUUGUUCAAUAUCAAAAUAUUGAUGAUGCAGUAGAAUUUGUGAAAACUAUUGGACCUGGUGCGCUUCUGUCAAAAUUUAUGUCCAAAGUGCAUUUAAAAUCAUUCCAAUGCAGUUGUAGGCUUGGUAAAUAAACAUCUCAUGACCUAAGUAUUAUAUGCAUAGUCAGAAGAUUAGUUCUACAAUGUUUGAAAUAUAACUUUUUGUUUUAAGACACGCAUUUUAAAAGCAUUGCAAGGUUAUCAUAAUUUAGUUCCUAAAACAGACACAAGUUUGCCAGUUGCAUAACUUAAUACGGUCAAUGGACGUAGUUUGCAGUUCGCAAUUCUUACGUAUACUGCUAACAGCCAUUUAUUUAUUGACCUUUCAUGUUUCCUUCGAGUUGGAGAAUUUAUUUCUUCCUCUCCUGACUCGUAUAUUAUAGUAGUAGAACAUGUAUAUAUAACAUUCAAUCGAACUAAAUCGCUUUGACUUGGUUUUGAAAAGCUAUAAAUAUAGUCGAGGCAAGACUCAUAAACUGCAUAUAUCAUGUUGUCACCAUGAAUUAAGUAUGCGCCCAUUGCAUGCAUUGUACUCGUAUUAUACAUUAAGUAACGCUCCACCUGGCCCACUAUUUUCGUUUUUGAAAAUAAUCCAGUGACAAGAUCUUUCUUUUGUACCAAGCUGCAAAUGUCACUCACACGGUUAGGUUAUAGUACUGACUUUUACAAAGGUCAUAGUUUCCGCAUUGGUGCGGCAUUGCAAAGAGGUUUAUGGGGAGUUUCAAAAAAAAAAUCGACCUUUGGGCAGGUGGUUUUCAAACGCUUAUAAAAAGUAUAUUAGCAUUCCUAAGGGAGAAGAAUCAGAUGGGGUCAAAGCUCCAACAAUAUAGGUACAUCAUGAUCACAAAUGUGAUGGGGUCAAGGGUCUCUCACCUUGUGAUUAUCAUGUUAACAAGUAUUCUUCUAUUAUCCUCUUAAGACAAAAUAUAUCAGUAUUGGAUUUUAGAAAUCAUACACCUUUGUUUGGGGUGGAUGAUUUUAUCAAGUUAAUAUCUAGUGUUCUUAUGUUUGUAAUUCUUAUUGCUAAUGGUGCGAUGGGGUCAUGGGUCUCUCGCACUUAAGUUAUCAUGUUACAUGUACAUAAAGUAUAUUAGUAGGCAAUUUUGCAUGUAUUUUUGAGUUUCUGAUAUUUUGCUUGUGUGAUAGUGCCAAGGGAUGCUUACCUCUAUUUUGUCAUGUCAAAUAUACAUGUACCAUUUUCUACAAUUUCUGCAUGUUAGAGGGUGCAUCACUUUAACAAGUAUUCUUCUGUUAUCCUCUUAAGACAAAUAUCAGUAUUGGAUUUUAGAAAUCAUACACCUUUGUUUGGUGUGGAUGAUUUUUAUCAAGUAAAUAUUUAGUUUUCUUAUGUUUAUAAUUCUUAUUGCUAAUGGUGCGAUGGGGUCAUGGGUCUCUCGCACUUAUCUGUUAUCCUCUUAAGACAAACAUCAGUAUUGGAUUUUAGAAAUCAUACACCUUUGUUUGGUGUGGAUGAUUUUUAUCAAGUAAAUAUUUAGUUUUCUUAUGUUUAUAAUUCUUAUUGCUAAUGGUGCGAUGGGGUCAUGGGUCUCUCGCACUUAUCUGUUAUCCUCUUAAGACAAAUAUCAGUAUUGGAUUUUAGAAAUCAUACACCUUUGUUUGGUGUGGAUGAUUUUUAUCAAGUAAAUAUUUAGUUUUCUUAUGUUUAUAAUUCUUAUUGCUAAUGGUGCGAUGGGGUCAUGGGUCUCUCGCACUUAUUUUAUCAUGUUACAUGUACAUGAAGUUUAAUAGUAGUCAGUUUUGCAUGUUUUUAUGAGUUACUGAUAUUUUGCUUGAGUGAUGGUGCCAAAGGUUGCUCACCUCUAUUUUGUCAUGUUAAAUAUACCUUUUUCUACAAUUCUGCAUGUUAGAGGGUGUAACACAACACAUGAGUAAGCUGUUGAUAAAUAAAUGAUACACUCACUUUCUUCGGAUGGGGUUAUUGCUAAUAACUUAAUAAAUGAAAUCCAUUUAUUAUGUUUUUGCAAUAUGUGGCAUAAAGGUUAGAUCCCCACCUUUGAUGAUGCAUAUCAACUGUUAAUAUUUGUCUUUUCUUGAUAAAAUUAGUCACCUAUCACAUAUUAUGUAUGAUGCUGUAACAGAACCAUUUAUUGUUAAUUGUGUUUUCAAAUUCGUCAUUUAGAUAUUAAAUGACAUAUUUCAAUCAAAGAUACGUGUUGGUUUUUGAUUUGAUUUACUACAUCAUCAAACAGAGCUCAUAAAGUGAGUGUAAGAUAUAUACCUUGGUUAUAUGGAGCUAAUGCUACGGAGCUUGCAUAAAUGCAGAUUUAUUGAAAAAUAAAUAUAUUUAUGCAAGUACGGGACGGUACUGGUUUUAAUAUUAUUCAAUUGCGGAGCACGAAAAGCUUACGCGCAAAUUAUCAAGAACUUCAAACCCUCCCUCCCAUCCCUAGUAUGCUCAGUAUACCAAUAGUUGUAGAUAGUUCAACAUGUGCCAGUCAUUUUUGUUGUCUUCAUAGAUAUGUCAUUACAGUUUCAUUGUAAAAAUGAUGUUCAACAUAUGCUAGUCAUUGUUAUAAUAGAUAUUUCUCAUACUUAUUAAUUGUUAGAAUGACAUUCAACAUACAUUUAUAAAUGCUGUAUUGAUACUUCACAUGUAAUUAUAUAUAUAUAUUGAUAUCAUUACUUUUAACUAUAAGGCUGACAUUCAUCGUACUAUUAUUAUAAUGCUAGUCAUUGUGCCAUUACUUCUUGACUAUAAGACUGACAUUCAACAUAAUAUUAUACUGAUCAUUGUUAAUUAAUGAAUAUGUAUUUCAGUAUUUUCUUAGAUGUAAGACUAUCAUUCAUUGCUUAUUGGCAUAAAGGUUAGAUCCCCACCUUUGAUGAUGCAUAUCAACUGUUAAUAUUUGUCUUUUCUUGAUAAAAUUAGUCACCUAUCACAUAUUAUGUAUGAUGCUGUAACAGAACCAUUUAUUGUUAAUUGUGUUUUCAAAUUCGUCAUUUAGAUAUUAAAUGACAUAUUUCAAUCAAAGAUACGUGUUGGUUUUUGAUUUGAUUUACUACAUCAUCAAACAGAGCUCAUAAAGUGAGUGUAAGAUAUAUACCUUGGUUAUAUGGAGCUAAUGCUACGGAGCUUGCAUAAAUAUGUUUACUGAGAUACCCCCGGUAAUUAGUUAACAUCUAAAAAUAAAACUGUGAAAAUCAA